GUCGACGGAGCACCCUUGACUGAGGUUUCGGCCAAAUGAUAGGAAUGCUUAGUGGCGGACUGGUGAGUAACGCGUGAGGAACCUACCUUCCAGAGGGGGACAACAGUUGGAAACGACUGCUAAUACCGCAUGACGCAUGACCGGGGCAUCCCGGGCAUGUCAAAGAUUUUAUCGCUGGAAGAUGGCCUCGCGUCUGAUUAGCUAGAUGGUGGGGUAACGGCCCACCAUGGCGACGAUCAGUAGCCGGACUGAGAGGUUGACCGGCCACAUUGGGACUGAGAUACGGCCCAGACUCCUACGGGAGGCAGCAGUGGGGAAUAUUGGGCAAUGGACGCAAGUCUGACCCAGCAACGCCGCGUGAAGGAAGAAGGCUUUCGGGUUGUAAACUUCUUUUGUCAGGGAAGAGUAGAAGACGGUACCUGACGAAUAAGCCACGGCUAACUACGUGCCAGCAGCCGCGGUAAUACGUAGGUGGCAAGCGUUGUCCGGAUUUACUGGGUGUAAAGGGCGUGCAGCCGGGCCGGCAAGUCAGAUGUGAAAUCUGGAGGCUUAACCUCCAAACUGCAUUUGAAACUGUAGGUCUUGAGUACCGGAGAGGUUAUCGGAAUUCCUUGUGUAGCGGUGAAAUGCGUAGAUAUAAGGAAGAACACCAGUGGCGAAAGGCGGAUAACUGGACGGCA
rnacentral:rRNA from 1 species